rnacentral:pre_miRNA from 1 species
GGGGGGAGGCCGGAUUCUGGGCUGUGGCCCCGGUGCCCAGGGUUCCCGGGCCUGCGCUGUUGGAUUCGAGCUCCCGCCCCGCAGCCCCCU